UACGUAGGGCGCAAGCGUUGUCCGGAAUUAUUGGGCGUAAAGAGCUCGUAGGCGGUCUGUCGCGUCUGCUGUGAAAACUCAGGGCUUAACCCUGAGCUUGCAGUGGGUACGGGCAGUCUAGAGUGCGGUAGGGGAGACUGGAAUUCCUGGUGUAGCGGUGAAAUGCGCAGAUAUCAGGAGGAACACCGGUGGCGAAGGCGGGUCUCUGGGCCGUAACUGACGCUGAGGAGCGAAAGCAUGGGGAGCGAACAGG
rnacentral:rRNA from 1 species